UACGUAGGCAGCGAGCGUUGUUCGGAGUUACUGGGCGUAAAGCGUGCGUAGGCGGUGUCUUAAGUUUGUUGUGAAAUCUCCCGGCUCAACUGGGGAGGGUCAUUCGAUACUGAUCGACUGGAAGGCAGGAGAGGGUAGUGGAAUUCCCGGUGUAGUGGUGAAAUGCGUAGAUAUCGGGAGGAACACCAGUGGCGAAGGCGACUACCUGGCCUGUUCUUGACGCUGAGGCGCGAAAGCUAGGGGAGCAAACGGG
rnacentral:rRNA from 1 species